rnacentral:rRNA from 1 species
GAUGAACGCUGGCGGCGUGCUUAACACAUGCAAGUCGAACGAAGCACUUUAAUCGAUUUCUUCGGAUUGAAAUUUUAGUGACUGAGUGGCGGACGGGUGAGUAACGCGUGGGUAACCUGCCUCACACAGGGGGGAUAACAGUUGGAAACGGCUGCUAAUACCGCAUAAGCGCACAGUACCGCAUGGUGCAGGGGGUAAAAACUCCGGUGGUAUGAGAUGGACCCGCGUCUGAUUAGCUAGUUGGUGGGGUAACGGCCGUACCAAGGCGACGAUCAGUAGCCGACCUGAGAGGGUGACCGGCCACAUUGGGACUGAGACACGGGCCCAAAACUCCUACGGGAGGCAGCAGUGGGGAAUAUUGCACAAUGGGGGAAACCCUGAUGCAGCGACGCCGCGUGAGCGAAGAAGUAUUCGGUAUGUAAAGCUCUAUCAGCAGGGAAGAAAAUGACGGUACCUGACUAAGAAGCCCCGGCUAACUACGUG